ACAAGGCUGAGUCAAAUCUGCGUUUCAUCAUCUAUAAGAAAGGUACCUAUCGAGAACACCCUGCUGGCCAGUGUGUAAAUAUCUAAAGGAGGACUCAGAAAACACCGGGGAAGUCCAGCCUGCACGUGGUGGCUGGGCUUCAGUGAAGCAUGCAGCACAACAGGAGUUAGCAGACCACAAAGAGCAUGUCUGGACCUAGAACCACAGCAUGUAACCUCGGAAGCAGUGAGACACCAGCCAGCAUGGACAAGCAGCAGGCACUUGCUCUAUACCAGGUGAGGGUGUGGAGACAUGACGUGGUGCAGGGACACCAGCACCCAGUCCUAGUUCUGGUCCCUCUCAGCCUUGUUAGGUCCUGGUUCCUAAGAUUCCAGGGAACAUCCCCACAGCCUCACAAUAAGAUCCUCCUUUCCUGCA
rnacentral:lncRNA from 10 species